GACAGAGGGUGCAAACGUUGUUCGGAAUUACUGGGCGUAAAGCGUGUGUAGGCGGCCGCGCAAGUCGGAUGUGAAAGCCCUGGGCUCAACUCAGGAAGUGCACCCGAUACUGCGUGGCUCGAGUACCGGAGAGGUUGGUGGAAUUCUCGGUGUAGAGGUGAAAUUCGUAGAUAUCGAGAGGAACACCUGUGGCGAAGGCGGCCAACUGGACGAGUACUGACGCUGAGACACGAAAGCGUGGGGAGCAAACAGG
rnacentral:rRNA from 1 species